rnacentral:rRNA from 1 species
UACGUAGGGUGCAAGCGUUGUCCGGAAUUAUUGGGCGUAAAGAGCUCGUAGGCGGUUUGUCGCGUCGGCUGUGAAAACCUGGGGCUCAACCCCCGGGCCUGCAGUCGAUACGGGCAGGCUAGAGUUCGGCAGGGGAGACUGGAAUUCCCGGUGUAGCGGUGAAAUGCGCAGAUAUCGGGAGGAACACCGGUGGCGAAGGCGGUUCUCUGGGCCUUACCUGACGCUGAGGAGCGAAAGCGUGGGGAGCGAACAGG